UUCGUCCUAAAAAAGUCUUUGCACAGCACCAAGACAAAAGGCCCACUCUUAAAUUCACUUUUAGAAAAUUUACUUUCCCUUUCAGAUUUAAUCAACCUAUCACAGGAAAAAAUAAAUACUUUCUUUCAAGACAGAGCAGAAUCUCACGGUCACCAAUAUCAAGCCUGGUUUUAUUUACAAGCAUAUAAUAACUCACUACUGAUACUUCCCAGUAAUUCUGUAGUAAAUAUUUAACCUUUUGUGUGAUAUGUCUAAGAAGAGCACGGUCCAGACACUGGUGUCUCUGUUCUGUGGUUAUUUUCCUAAAGGCUCUUUGAAUAGAGCUAGAUGAGCAGAAAUAAAGUGGUGGUAAACAAUGCCCGGCCUUAAAUCCCAGCCCAGUUUGAGACCUCAGACAAGGUGUUCAACAACAUUACACCUUGGAAAUUUUCUGGAAACCAAACACGAUAGCAGCUAAGCCUUUGAGUGUCUGCCACAUUCCAAACUCUGUGUCAAGUGCUGCACUUACGUGAACCCAUUCAGCCCUCACAGCUGCUCGGUUACCUAGGAACAGCUGGCAGCAUGAGCUCUUCGCAGACAACAGAGGGAAUGGCGGAGUCCGGAUGCGAUCUAGGCAAGCUAGCCCCUGAGGCGCACACACGAUGGGAUGUUUUCAAGCUGGAGGAAGCAGAUACCCUCUGCCACGUCAUGAUGCUACAAGACCAGAUGCUAGUGUGUUCAUACAGACUUCCCAGCCUCAGACUGUGAGCAAAUGCUAACCUUAACUUAAAACCUUUCUCUAUAAAUAA